CAGUAGCCACGGGAACACGGAGGGAGCUAGCGUUGUUCGGAAUUACUGGGCGUAAAGCGCGCGUAGGCGGUUACUCAAGUCAGAGGUGAAAGCCCGGGGCUCAACCCCGGAACUGCCUUUGAAACUAGGUGACUAGAAUCUUGGAGAGGUCAGUGGAAUUCCGAGUGUAGAGGUGAAAUUCGUAGAUAUUCGGAAGAACACCAGUGGCGAAGGCGACUGACUGGACGAGUAUUGACGCUGAGGUGCGAAAGCGUGGGGAGCAAACAGGAUUAGAUACCCCGGUAGUCCCUGUAUCUUAUAC
rnacentral:rRNA from 1 species